UUCUCUGUAGUAUCUCCAAUAGCAUAUUUCAUCUUCUUAUUAGCUCUAACGUCGCCGGAAUCUGAUGAUUUCUUCGGCUCAAUUAGCUUUAAUUUCUUCUUCAAAUCUUUGUAUGAUAAGAAUUUGUCUCGCCAUUCAGGUAAUGUUUCUUCUAUUUGAUUGCUUAAGCUUUUUCCAAACUUCAUUUGUUCAAAUAUAGAGGGAAUCACACACAAAAAAGUGUGACUUUGAGAGAAAUCACACACAGUGAACGUGUGAUUUGAGAAAAAAUACGCAGAGUAACACACACUGAAUUGAAGUGUGAUUUGAGAAAAAACACACAGUGAAGGUGUGAUUUUGAGAGAAAUUAUACACAGUAACACACAGUGAAGGUGUGAUUUUGAGGAAAAAUACACGCAGAGAAAGUGUGAUUUUGAGGAAAACUACACACGGUAACACAUAGUGAAGGUGUGAUUUUGAGAGAAAUUACACACAGUGAAGGUGUGAUUUGAGAAAAAAUGAGGGGAACAUAUGAAUUUGAGAGGUUGAUAUAAUGGUGUUUUGUAUGUGUGGAGUGAAAAAAAAGAGGGAGAAUAUUGAGUGAGUUGGGGGUUUAGUUGGGAAUAUUCUCUUCUUGUGCUUCUUUCCUUUUUUAUUUUUUAAAAUACUAUUAUUAUUAUUAAAAUAUUAUUCACUUUUGCCACUUCAAUAGAUCUUCACAAAUUAAAAGCGCUGCUUCGACCUUAACUAUCAAGCUAUGUGAUGAAAAUUUCCUCAAUCAAUUGUCACUCAACAGCUCGAAAUAUUUCGACUGAAGAAUUAUGAUCCAUCAAAGAAAAGAAAAGGAAAAAAUAUAUCGCGAUGCACCUCUCUUUGGUUAAGCUCCGGGAGAUGCUUAAGUUGACUUUCUUUAGAAGCCACAUCGAUAAUAUAUCGUUCUAGAUUUCACUUGUGAUAUAAUAUUGGUUAUGUUCUUGUGUCUAUAUCGUAUUGUUAAAUUCAUUGUAUUGUAUCAUUUUAGGCUUUACCCAUGAGAUAUGUUGUUUUAUAUCUCAAUUCAUUGUCGU
rnacentral:lncRNA from 1 species